AUACGGAGGGGGCUAGCGUUGUUCGGAAUUACUGGGCGUAAAGCGUACGUAGGCGGACUGAUCAGUUGGGGGUGAAAUCCCAGGGCUUAACCCUGGAACUGCCUUCAAUACUGUCAGUCUUGAGAUUGGAAGAGGUGAGUGGAAUUUCUAGUGUAGAGGUGAAAUUCAUAGAUAUUAGGAGGAACACCAGUGGCGAAGGCGGCUCACUGGUCCAAUACUGACGCUGAGGUACGAAAGCGUGGGGAGCAAACAGGAUUAGAAACCCUAGUAGUCC
rnacentral:rRNA from 1 species